AAGCGGCAACAGCUCAAAUUUGAAAUCUGGCCCCUCCGGGUCCGAGUUGUAAUUUGUAGAGGAUGCUUUUGGUGAGGUGCCGCCCGAGUUCCCUGGAACGGGACGCCACAGAGGGUGAGAGCCCCGUCUGGCUGGCCACCGAGCCUCUGUAAAGCUCCUUCGACGAGUCGAGUAGUUUGGGAAUGCUGCUCAAAAUGGGAGGUAUAUGUCUUCUAAAGCUAAAUAUUGGCCAGAGACCGAUAGCGCACAAGUAGAGUGAUCGAAAGAUGAAAAGCACCUUGAAAAGAGGGUUAAACAGUACGUGAAAUUGUUGAAAGGGAAGCGCUUGUGACCAGACUUGGGCGCGGCGGAUCAUCCGGGGUUCUCUCCGGUGCACUUCGCCGCGUUCAGGCCAGCAUCAGUUCGUCGCGGGGGAAAAAGGCUUCGGGAACGUGGCUCCUCCGGGAGUGUUAUAGCCCGUUGCAUAAUACCCUGCGGUGGACUGAGGACCGCGCAUCUGCAAGGAUGCUGGCGUAAUGGUCACCAGCGACCCGUCUUGAAACACGGACCAAGGAGUCGUCUUCGUAUGCGAGUGUUCGGGUGUCAAACCCCUACGCGUAAUGAAAAGUGAACGCAGGUGAGAGCUUCGGCGCAUCAUCGACCGAUCCUGAUGUUCUCGGAUGGAUUUGAGUA
rnacentral:rRNA from 1 species